GCCUCCCUCCGCCGCCACUCAGACUCUACGGGAGGCAGCAGUGGGGAAUCUUGCACAAUGGGCGAAAGCCUGAUGCAGCAACGCCGCGUGAGUGAAGAAGGCCUUUGGGUUGUAAACCGCUUUCACCAGGGACGAAGCGAGAGUGACGGUACCUGGGGAAGAAGCGCCGGCUAACUACGUGCCAGCAGCCGCGGAAUAC
rnacentral:rRNA from 1 species